CCUGUAAAGCAUGGGUACUCUACUGCCUCUGUAUCUGUUGUUCUGACAAGCUAGGUGCCAGAGUUUCUUCACACGAUGGUGAUCAUCUGUUUCAGCUAAUGAAGACCUUUCUGCCCUGCUGUCUGUGUCUGAUGACGAUUGCCAUGGUUACCGAAGGUGGAGUCGUAUCAGAAGACACGUGUGCAGACUGGAGUUUCCAGACCUCACAGACGGAGAACCUCUCCAUGCUUUAGUCAACAGUUACGUCAACUUGACCUUUAACCUCAACACAUCUGACUGCACAUACUUUCCAGAAAAGUUUUCUGUCUUGUUGUCAUUAAGACAAGGUGAAUCACACGUUCCCAUCUGCUACAUCUUUUUAUGAAAAUGAGAACUGCAACAUCGUAGACCCUAAGAACUGUGGCUGUCUACCCGAUAAUAUGUCUCGGCUUAUUGUACCAUCAACUCACUCAGUCCGGCCGUAGUGUGUACAUCUGGACGUUGAAAGACUCAACCAUGAAGCAAUCACAGAAGAAAAUAGAAAUCACAUUCCUUGUAGAAAGUACUGUUACCUCUGACCCCCCGGGAAAAGUUCUUCCUUUACAUGGACCACAGAAGAGCUGAGCAAACCAGAUGUGCAUUAGGUAAUGUAACUCCAAGUUCCACAAAAAAUGUUACUUCUCCUGAGGACGAGACCGCAAGAAGACAUAGGACUGGCAUUAAAACAACAUUGCCAGGACUUUCCGAGACCAAAAGCGAGGCGACAGCUUUCAAGUGAUUUUCUUUACAAGCAUUAUCACUGCCAUAGUCAUCGGCGUGCCUUCGUCACAGGAAUCAUCAUUUAUGUUAAUAGAAUCAAAAAGAGAAUAAGAGGUAGGAGAAGGAGGCGGUCACAUAUUUCUUUCACAAUAAAAAUUACGAUUUUUCUGCAACUAUUUUAAUUCAGAAAAUACAUCAGGGAAGUAAAUAAACACAAACAUUAAGAAUGUGCUUCCAGUUGUGCCAUAGACAUAUACACAUAUAUACUUAGGUCGCGCCCAGUCUGGAAGAUUGCUAGAAGCAGUCAAAGUGGAAAGUGUCGAUGCGAAUUUUAAUCAAAGAAUUUGAAAUAUUUGUGGCCUCGUCGUUUCGGCUUGAGGUGAGUGUUAGAAUUAUUUUUGUUUGGUGUUUAGUGUAUUGAACGUAUUUUUUUGAUUCUUUAAUAAGUUGAUGUGUUUUAUACACUAGCACAAACACUGCUCAGGAUUUGUCAUGGCGAACAGAUUACAAAUGGCAUUAAAGAAGUCAAAGAAGUAAUAUUAGUGGCAGU